CAAGUACUCCCUCCGUACAAAAUUACUCGUUCAAGGAAUGAAUGUAUCUAGAUGUAUUUUAGUUGUAGAUACAUCCAUUUUUAUUCAUUUUUGUCACAAGUAAUUCCUAACGGAGGGAGUAGGAU
rfam:Triticum aestivum genome assembly, contig: Triticum_aestivum_CS42_TGACv1_scaffold_220600_3B